rnacentral:rRNA from 1 species
UACAGAGGGUGCAAGCGUUGUUCGGAAUCAUUGGGCGUAAAGCGCACGUAGGCGGCCUACUAAGUCGGAUGUGAAAGCCCCAGGCUCAACCUGGGAAGUGCAUUCGAAACUGGUGGGCUUGAAUGUCGGAGAGGGCAGUGGAAUUCCGAGUGUAGAGGUGAAAUUCGUAGAUAUUCGGAGGAACACCAGUGGCGAAGGCGACUGCCUGGACGAACAUUGACGCUGAGGUGCGAAAGCGUGGGGAGCAAACAGG